rnacentral:lncRNA from 1 species
UUCAAUCUCAGGUGCGGGGCUGGGGGGUGGGGGCUUCACGGCAGCUGACUAUGAUUUGCCUCUUGUUCUAGCAGAGGCAUGUUUUUGCCAGCUGCAGAUAGUUUCUGUGAUUGUAUGACGUUUGAAAUUCUGGGAAAUUUUCAGAGAUUAUAUAAAAUGCUAGGGCCCCAAGAGGUGGGGAUGGUGGUUAGUGGUGGCUCAGGGGGGUUGGUUGUGGAUUGUUAGUAGUCAUCUUCAAGGAAGAAACAAAAGGAACAAAAUUAGAUUCAGGAAUCAAUCUCUCUCUCUCUCUCUCUCUCUCUCUCUCUCUCUCUCUCUCUCUCUCUCUCCUUUAUCUAGUAAAGUAUCUAACUAGAAGCUACAUACCUUUCUCUUUUAUCUAGUGAUAGGGAUGUGAAACUGGGUGGAUAAAGGGUGAAAAGAAGAAAAACCCAGAAAGUAGUAAAGCCCAGCUACAACCCAAGACAGCACAUGGGUGGGAGCUUGGUAGUACAUGACUCUGAUGUCACUGUCUGAAUGGAGAUUACAGGAAGAAAAGAUUUUAAAGAAGCUAAUGUUGAUGUUUUACAAUGUAUAUGGUCUUCUUUCUGAAUAAAUAGAGGACAGGGAAAUACUUGGUCUUUUAUUGCGUGAUUUUCAGCACCUUAUAAUCUUCAGCUUGAAAUGAAGAGUUGAUAGAUUUGGAAGAAUUCUGUUAGGCAUUUGUAAGUUUAUGAAUUUAGCAUUAACAUGUUUGAGGUUUUUGCUUCACCUCUCUUAAGGUGUUUUCCUCUCUUUGACCCAGGUAUCAGUGUUGCACAUGAAUAUUAUCUUUUUCCUAAGUUAGUUAGGAAGUAAGGCCAGCAAACUGACAUAAAAAUGGGAACUGAAGGAGAGAACUGAAGGCACAAGUUUUAAUUAAAAUCAGCACAACAAAGAAAUAUCUACAUACCCACAUUUCAGCACUACUCAUAACAAUCAAGAUAUGGGCUCAAUCUGCCAGCAGAUGCACGAAGAAAUGAAGAUAUGUAUGUAUACAUGAAUAUUAGUCAACCAACCAUAGAGAAGAAUGAAAUCUUGUCAUUUUUCAGAAAAAAAAAAAAAAAAGGAUAGAACUGGAGUUAUCAUAUACCUGG